GACGAACGCUGGCGGCGUGCCUAAUACAUGCAAGUAGAACGCUGAAGAGAGGAGCUUGCUCUUCUUGGAUGAGUUGCGAACGGGUGAGUAACGCGUAGGUAACCUGCCUGGUAGCGGGGGAUAACUAUUGGAAACGAUAGCUAAUACCGCAUAAAAUUGAUUAUUGCAUGAUAAUUAAUUGAAAGAUGCAACUGCAUCACUACCAGAUGGACCUGCGUUGUAUUAGCUAGUUGGUGAGGUAACGGCUCACCAAGGCGACGAUACAUAGCCGACCUGAGAGGGUGAUCGGCCACACUGGGACUGAGACGCGGCCCAGACUCCUACGGGAGGCAGCAGUAGGGAAUCUUCGGCAAUGGGGGGAACCCUGACCGAGCAACGCCGCGUGAGUGAAGAAGGUUUUCGGAUCGUAAAGCUCUGUUGUAAGAGAAGAACGGGUGUGAGAGUGGAAAGUUCACACUGUGACGGUAUCUUACCAGAAAGGGACGGCUAACUACGUG
rnacentral:rRNA from 1 species